rnacentral:rRNA from 1 species
UUCAGACAAACUCCGAAUGCCAAAUAAUUUAACUUGGGAGUCAGAAUGUGGGUGAUAAGGUCCAUAUUCGAAAGGGAAACAGCCCAGACCACCAGCUAAGGUCCCAAAAUAUAUGUUAAGUGGAAAAGGAUGUGGCGUUGCCCAGACAACUAGGAUGUUGGCUUAGAAGCAGCCAUCAUUUAAAGAGUGCGUAAUAGCUCACUAGUCGAGUGACACUGCGCCGAAAAUGUACCGGGGCUAAACAUAUUACCGAAGCUGUGGAUUGUCCUUUGGACAAUGGUAGGAGAGCGUUCUAAGGGCGUUGAAGCAUGAUCGCAAGGACAUGUGGAGCGCUUAGAAGUGAGAAUGCCGGUGUGAGUAGCGAAAGACGGGUGAGAAUCCCGUCCACCGAUUGACUAAGGUUUCCAGAGGAAGGCUCGUCCGCUCUGGGUUAGUCGGGUCCUAAGCUGAGGCCGACAGGCGUAGGCGAUGGAUAACAGG